UGACCGCUGGCGGCGUGCCUACUACAUGCAAGUCGAGCGACCAGACGAGGAGCUUGCUCCUCUGACGUUAGCGGCGGACGGGUGAGUAACACGUGGAUAACCUACCUAUAAGACUGGGAUAACUUCGGGAAACCGGAGCUAAUACCGGAUAAUAUAUUGAACCGCAUGGUUCAAUAGUGAAAGACGGUUUUGCUGUCACUUAUAGAUGGAUCCGCGCCGCAUUAGCUAGUUGGUAAGGUAACGGCUUACCAAGGCAACGAUGCGUAGCCGACCUGAGAGGGUGAUCGGCCACACUGGAACUGAGACACGGUCCAGACUCCUACGGGAGGCAGCAGUAGGGAAUCUUCCGCAAUGGGCGAAAGCCUGACGGAGCAACGCCGCGUGAGUGAUGAAGGUCUUCGGAUCGUAAAACUCUGUUAUUAGGGAAGAACAAAUGUGUAAGUAACUAUGCACGUCUUGACGGUACCUAAUCAGAAAGCCACGGCUAACUACGUG
rnacentral:rRNA from 1 species